GGCAAACAGUUUUGCCGCGGCAAUUGUCCCAGUAAAAAUAUUGCCGCGGCAAAUGUCCCGGUAAAAAUGUUUUGCCGCGGCAAUAUUACCGGCACAAUACUGACUCAAAUUACUUGGUUCCCUACGAACAAGAAGUAACUUCAGGUAAGGAUAAUCUUAGGUGUCUAGAUCCAACAGAGGCUUUUUAACACCCUGUCUACUACUCGCAGGUUAUUAUUCUGUCAAUGUGUGGCGAACCGGGUAACACAGAUGUCUAGCUGGGAGAAGAGUCCAGAGUACAGCUCCUCUUGUUGUGACCAAGUUGGCCACACUGUCCACAGCCUCUUGGCAGGGGGUGGAUGGCUGGGAGAGGAGGGACUCUGGAGAUGGCUGUCGACUGUCUGGCCGUGGAAGCAGAUGGCACGCGACAGGGCAGAACUCUCGGAUCUUAUCAUAGACUGCCGCUGAAGUGACAGACCCUUGGGUACAAUCUCUGAAGGCAUCUCAUCCUGAUCCAGCUUAACACCAUCCUCCUUCAGAAUGUUGUGCUCCUUCCCCACAGAGUCGCUGUGCUUCUUUGUGGCAACAACACCGGACAUCACAUGGACAUCACAUGGAAAUGUGGGAGUUUCCUAAAGAUUGGUGCAAAGAAACUUGCCACAACUCCACCGUUGCUAUCCACUACAAGCUGGGCUUCCAAGUCAAACUUCUCUUGACGAGCCCAAAGCACCAGUCCGGAGAAAAUUUGGUGUGUCCAACUACCAGAAAUGAGAGAGUGAUGUGAGUGGUCAUCGAGCGCCAUAGCAGAUUCCCGCCUCAUCACAGAGGAAAUUCAUUUGGCGGGGAAUUGCCUCACAGCACACCCCAAGCACUUCCGAGAUCCCUACCUGUUGAGCGUAAUCAAAAGCGUCGAUAUCCAAAGAGUUCGGACGAGUGUUUGAAGACAGCGGCGGUAGUGUGAGCGGAUAGUCACUCUGCACUGGUCGCAUACUGUCGCAUACUGUCUUAAAGUUUG